UAGUGAAGCAGGAUUGUAAGCUACUCCUGAAUGACUGGGGCAAGGAAGGCAGCAUUGCGGAUAGCCACCAUGCGUCUCUCCUGGGGAGUUCUUAUUGCCGUCCUGUUUGGUUCCUGCUGCUCUUCCUCCCACCCCUCUUCCCAUCAUUCCAUGCGCGCUCUCCGCCUUGACCAGGCACCGGCUAGAAAAUGCUACAGCGAGAUAUCCUUUCUUCUAGGAAAGGCGGCACUCUCGGCUUGAAUUCGCCAUGCCGGGUCAGGGAAGACCUUACAGAGGAUGAAGUGUGAAAGGUAAAUAAAGAAGGGUUUUAAAAGGAGAUGAGGGAAGAGGUUACAUCCCAGUCGGACAGACAACUGUGCCAGGUCCUCAGGAAUGGGACAGCAGGAGACAUUUGAGGUUCUGCAUUUUCCUGCAUCGGGAGCAGGCUCUGUGGAGGACCAGCAGGGAAGGAGGAACCACAUGGAGCUCCUGGUCUGGGGACUUUCUGUCAAGGAUCUUCUGUUUCAAUAAGACAUCCAAAAGCAGUCACAUCAGGAGCUGUACACUUUAACAGAAUCUCCUGUAGGAGGCAACGGAAAACAGACUUCAGAGGACCAAGAGGCGCGGCUAAGUCGGAAGAUUCCAGAAAUGACCCAGAAGAGAGAUAAUGAAGACGUGAAAUAAGGCAGUGGCGAUGGGGGAUAAAGACAAGGGAUGAUACACAGGUGGACUUGUGAGGACAUAAAACUGGAACCCAAAGAACAAACAUAUACAGGUGAUGCCUAAGGAAAUCGCAAAGUGCUCAGCCCAGAGCCUCUAUCAGCUCCUUAUCAGCAUGCUGCUGAGGUCUACCCUGUGAGCCUGGUCUUUCUUCCUGAGGGAGCAUCCAAGGCAGUCACACAGGUGAAGAGCAGGCCCGGCAGUCUUGCUUUGCAGAAAGGAAGAACAGGGUUAAAUGGUUCAACUAUCACCCUCAUCACCUCCUCCUACUGGCGCCACUUCCCUCACCCAGCCACACCCAAGAGCCCUUGCACCCAUGCCUCUGAGACCCUUCUCCACCCUGUGCUCUGAGAAACACCUGACACAGCCAUCUAGUCAACAACUGAUAUCAGAAGAGGGGAGGAGCCACACUGAAAACAACUACUAAACUAACUAGACCAAAAGAAGGGUAAGUUCACAUUUAAAAAAGAAGAAGAAGAAAAUGAAAGAAAGAAAGAACUGGAGGCUAGAGAGAUGGCUCAGUCUACUCUUUGCCUACCACGCAUGCAUGAGACAGGACCUCAGAUCCCAGACACCCGCAUAAAGAACUGAGCAUCAUGGCGUGUAACCUAAAGCUUGGGACAGAGGAGACAGACAAAUCCCUGAGCUCACUGGCCCGCUAGCCGUGCCAUCAGUGAGUGAGCAUCGGGUUCAGGGACAAGCACUGUCCCAAAAGAAAAGGGAGAGAGGAAUAGUGCAAGGCACUCAGUGUCAAGAGCUGGCCGUCACAUGAAUAUAUACGCUCACAGUACUGGAGCGGGUGUUGCAUCAGGAUGGACUUGUGUCUGUCUAUCUUUAAAGGCACUGCAGUCAGACAGAGGCUUUGAGAAACACUAAGCCCAUAAACUCCAUAAGCAUUGUGCUUAACAGUGAAAAAAUGAGACCCACUGCUGUUUAAUGACAAGAAAACUAUUGAAAUUAGCUCAGCAUGCAGAAAAAUCUCUGGGGCAACUAUCUGUGAGUGGGUACCAGCUGACGAGAUUAUAGUAGCAGUUUAUUCUAAAACUGUCCAGCAUCACUAGAAUGGGAGAGGAGGAGCUUCCAUUACCUUUGACCUUGGGAGGAAGCCUCAUCUCACAGUCAGCAAUUAAUUAAUCUCCUUGUCUGAGAGUGUGCUGACGCGUGUGUAUACGUAAAACAGGACGUGCACAUGCAGAAGGAGACCGUUUAUUCUACUCUGCUCGGAGCAGACGCUGGCCUGCCACCUAUCUCCCACACAGAACAGGUCACAGUAAUGACCAAAUACGCAAAUACGCAACACCUUCCAACUACAGGUCACAUGUCACAUGUGAUUGUUCUUUUACUCCACGGUUAAUUGACAGGGUCAAUACAAUUACCCCACACCGCAGAUUUACCCUAUUAAUAGAAUCACAGAGCAUGCUGGGCAAUCUUGGAGUAGACUUUUGAUAGAUUCUAAUUGUCAUUCAUUCCUAAUACCCCAUUCUACCUCGGCUUCAAAGGCAUUAAAUAACCCUCAUUAGACCACAGUUGGCACCGGGCACCCAGGGCUCCUGCCUCUUCUCCCUGCAGGUUACUGGCUACCCGGAGGCCGGCUGAAAGUAUCCUAAGCCGAGAAGAGGCCAGAGACCCUGGGGUCUAGGACUUGGCUAGAAUCCCAGCUCUUCAACCUAGGGGUCAAACUAUACUUUCCCCUGGGCUUCAGCCUCCUUCCUUGCAAACAGGAGAGUCACAAAACAGCUCCCAGAAGUGCUAUGGACAGAAAGUACACUUACAUGAACAACUCAUUCGCUCCUGUUCUUAGGUUCCUGGAAAAAGUGGCAGAAGGCAUGUCACUGCUGAGAUGGGAAUCUUGCUAAAGGCUGAUUCGGGUUGUCUGGACUGGAUGCUAUAGCAGGAAGGUUUUUGUGUGCAUGUGUAUUUUAUUCCUGAACCAACGUCAUAAAUUAUUUUGUUUUUCAGUUGUUAGGCUGAUAAUUUUCAUUCAACUUUUUUUAAGAGACCCACUCAAAGAAACGUCGCCACAGCAACUGAAAUCGUUGGUUAUAUAACUCCUGCUUAUACGUCAGCCCUCAUUCAAAGCCUGCGAUUGUGUUUAGUCUCCACAAAAGCCCUGUAAGAUGGGCCAAGGCCCUCGACCUCAUCAGUUCUUCUAUAUAAAUCAGGCUGUAAAUAAACACUUGGAGGUUCUGCACUGGGUUUAAAUAAAGAGCUUAUACAGUGAGCAUUCUGAUUUCUAUUCAAGACCAUCAGCAUUUCUCCUGUUCUG